rnacentral:snRNA from 1 species
AAACUUACCUGACGCGAGAGGCACCUUGAUCAACUAGGAAGUCCUCUCAGGAUGAGGCCCUUUCAUUGCACUUCGACUGGGUUGACUCCUGCGAUUACCCCUAAUGUGGGUAACUCGAGCGUAUAAUUUCUGGUAGUGGGGACCUGCGUUCGCGCUCGUCCCCU